AUGAUCAUGCAGAUGCUGGAUCUCCAGUCCACUAAACCGAGAACGUUCGUCAAAGCUGUUUUUGUCCAAAUGCUUUCAGAGGAUGAAUGGGCAUUUGAUCUGCUCUACUGUGUUGCUUUCCUUGUGAUGGACAAGCAGUGGGUAGAGAAGAACGCUUCUUACAUGGACUUCAAUGAGAUACUGAAGUCAACUCGAGCGCAGCUGGAGAAGGAGCUUCUGCUGGAGGAUGUGCUGAGGAUUGAAGAUAUGCCAUCAUACAGACUGCUUUGCUAG
rnacentral:rRNA from 1 species